UCUGGCAUUAAAAGCUGUCUUCAAGCGGCUACCCGGUAGCUGCAACGUAGGUGGGGUGAGGUUAACUUGCUUGUGCCACAAGCCACCAGACUUUGGAGAGGAAGCAACAGCCAAAGGAGACAUGGGCGGCGUUGAAGUGGUAGGCAAUGGCAAGGCAGAUGAACCAAGUGCUAGAGGGCUCAAAUUAGCCAUAUCCGCUGCAUUGAUAACAGCAGACCUCGGUGAAGGCAUAGCUGAUCCGGUGGAAGCAUUCACGGGACGCAAUUCUUCGAGUUUAUGAGCAAAGAAACAGACUUUACGUGCGCAGGCGAUUUCAUCUUUGCAAAGCCUUGUUCGAUACUGAGAAGGAUGCAACCAAGAUUCGAAAAUACCAUGUGCAUAAUCACAAGCAUCACCCUUAGGACAUGCACCCUUCCGAAACUCCAGACAUGGCACACAGCUAUAAGGGUACUUCCUUGGGUCCCUCCUCCUCGCAUUCUCACCGGGAUGAACAAAAGGACACUCGGUCCAAUCAUGGGAGUAUGCCCUUGAGCAAGGCUUCACC
rnacentral:lncRNA from 1 species